UUUAAAUUCAUCUUAGGUGGAUUUUACAAAAUUUACUUUAUAAUCUUAAUUCACUAUCAUUUAUAAAGAGCUCAACUCAACUUCACAUCCAAACUGGACGUUAGAAUUGGGAUUGGGGUGAAUUUGUUACCAUACUAAUCAUUUCGUGCUCAUUAAUCAUUUAAGAGUAUAUGGCAUAUCUACUUUCGGCCAUAAAAGAAAAAUGAUACUUGCUACCAUUUACAGCGGCAAAAGCAUUGCCAACAGAAUCGAAUCUACCAAGGAAAAAGCACUUGUGCAAAAAGGGAAAAGAAAGGUUCAAGAUUACUGACGAAUUUCCCCAUUGAAGAAAGUUGCCAUUUUCUUUUUUUUUCUUUUUUUUUUCCCAAGGAGGAGGAUCUAGGUUUGAAUGGCAGCUUGAAGAACGGUAGGUGAAGAGUGUUAGAUAUGUAGGAAAAAAAAAAACAUGGGAUUUGGUUGCAAAUGUGAAUGAGUAGACAGAUGGAUGCUUCUAUGCUAAGCAAUUCCCUUUAUAAACACCAGGAACCCCUUCUAAACCAAAGCCUUCUAUAAAAGUUGCUCAAGUGCUGCGAGAGAGAGAGAGAGAGAGAGAGAGCAACCUUCGUUUUGGGUUCUGCAGAUUGUUGUGGUUAACGUAGAGAGGUCUAGCAAUGGGUCCAGGAGGACCAGGAGGGCCUGGAGGGCCUGGUUGGGGGGGUCCCCCGGGCCCUGGUGGGCCGGGACCCUUUGGUGGUUUUUUUAACGUCAUUGGUUCCUGCCUGAGUUUCAUAUGUUGUUGUUGGUUGCUACAAGAUUGCUUUGGUGGGCCUGGAGGCCCACCUGGCCCACCGGGACCACCUGGACCAUAAUCAUCUCAUCUCCAACCUACCAUCCAUACAAUCACAGAAUCACUGCGUGCUGCUGCUGUUUUGGCUUUCAAAGCCAUUUUUAAUUUUUCCUUAAUAGUUCAUCACGUCCAUCUGUUAUGUGAAAAUAAUGACUGAUUUGGAGCCGAAGUUACUAUAUUGUUGAAGAACAUCCCUUCCCUGUUUUGAUAGGUUUCUCA